rnacentral:rRNA from 1 species
CAGUCCGCGGGAAUACAGAGGAUGCAAGCGUUAUUCGGAAUGAUUGGGCGUAAAGCGUCUGUAGGUAGCUUUUCAAGUCUGCCGUCAAAUCCCUGGGCUCAACCUUGGACAAGCAGUGGAAACUACCAAGCUGGAGUGUGGUAGGGGCAGAGGGAAUUUCCAGUGGAGCGGUGAAAUGCGUUGAGAUCGGAAAGAACACCAACGGCGAAAGCACUCUGCUGGGCCGACACUAACGCUGAGAGACGAAAGCUAGGGGAGCAAAUGGGAUUAGAUACCCCCGUAGUCCCUGUCUCUUAUACAC